CUAAUCUCACUAACCUUAUCAAAUUUAUCACUAAUUAAUUCUAAAUCCACAUCAAUUUCUAAUCUAAAUGGACUCACGUAACCCGGUUCAUACAUCACAACUUUAUCCAAAAAACCAGGUCAAACAUCCUUAUGGACUCAGUUGUUUCCAUGCAUCUUCAUACGCCUUCGAUUCAAACUUCAGGAUUCCAUGAAUGAAGGUAUCAUGAGAAACCUUGACAUCACGCUUAUUUCAAAUCUGCGUCCAUCAUCGUCUUCGUCGCUCGUACUCGCAAUCCAAAUGUCUGCGCGUGAACAUCAUGAGUUAAGAUCCGGAAUCGGAGCUCCUUCACCGUUCAUCUAUGCCGACGUCCUUCAAUGAGCUUGCGUGCGUUUGUAGAGCAGAAUCAAAGUCGAGUCUGAGAUUGACUCGAGCUUUACGUGUCUAACCGAAGGGAAACAAGGUCAAAGAAACCGGAGAACUUACUGAAUUGCAAUGUAAACAAGUAUGGAUUAUCUGAUUUGCUUCUUCUUCUCCCAAUCUUCUUCUCCAUAACUUCUUCUACCUUUCUUAUCUACAACUGCGAUUUGGCUUUUCUGCAUGCGUAUCUGUGAGGAGAAUGAUGUAAAAGAGUGAAAUUGGAGAAUCGAUUUGCGAGUUCUGGAGUGUUCAAAGUUGAAAGCGGAAUGAAGAAUGUGAUGAAGAUUAUAUAAGGAAUCUUCGUGUAACAGAAUAGGUCAGCUUGGCCAGGAUUGUUAAUCUAGUUAGGGCACUGUUAAGCUCCAAUUGGAUUUACAGGGUAGAAAGUCAGUGUUAUGAACUUGCAGCUACUGAUAUGCUUAUUUUGUUUUGGCUUGAAUGCAAAUGUUGAUGCAGGGUGUUAAUGGAUGGUUAACCGAGUUGUUGGAACCAUUUUCACAUGGGUUGCAAUGCCCAUUGGGGACUGCUAUGUGCAGCUAAACUUGUUUAGGUUGAUAUGAUUUUGGACAUGAAGGCUAAUGAAAGCUAAAUGUCAGCAGGCUGCUUGUAGAAUUCAUUUAAUUAUGUGCAAAAAAGAAAUGUUAUUGUUAGUUUGAGGACUUAAUUGACAUUAGUGGUGAAAGUUAAUAAUAACUAGUAUAAAUGGAUUAUGAUUGUUAAUUGUGAAUCAAAAUGUAUUGAAUAUGAAUGGAAUAUUCAUUGAUUUGGAAAGUUA